GAGACCGAGGGGAAGGGGUACGAGAUAUCAUAGCAGCCCCUCAUAAAAUUCGUCAUCCCCUUUGUCUUCGCGUUCGAAAUCCUAACCCUAGCCCUACCAUAAUUUCGCCAGUCAUCCCCCCACACGAUGGCUAGCGACGAGCCAUCGUCUCUUUCCUCUGCCGGCAAGCACCGGAGGUCGGCGGACGACCAAGGACCGGAGGAGUCGUCGAAGCGCCGGAAGCACCACCAUCACCAUCAUCGCCACCACCGCCACCGCCACCACCGCCAUCACAGCGAGCACGACCGGGAGAGGGACGAGGGGGAAAACGCCUCUCCCGUGGCGGAGGUGGAUGGGGCAUCCUCUGCUGUACCGGAGCCUGGUGAUGACGACCGGGAGGAGGGAGAGAUCCUUGAAGAAGAAGAGGGAGGUGGAGACAUCAAUGGCGAGAAAGGCGUCGGCUUGGAGGUGGAUGGGGGUUCUGAUGCUGAAUCGGGCGAGAUCAAGGCGGACGGUGCCGAUGCUUAUUCCAAACGGGUAGCUUCUGGGGAGAAGGUUGCUUGGUCAGGCGGUAGUUUAAAGGUGCUUAAUUCUAAUCAGAAUACAUUGACGGAUGAAAGCAUGUUGAACAAAUCUCAUCUUUUCGAGAACUUCAGUGGCAAGGAUGAAAUUCAAGUAAAGGAAUACGAGGCAAGCAGAGAAACAUGUGUUUGGGAGACUGGUAAUAUAUCAGUGAGUGAUGGGGAGAAUGAAGGGGCCACUGUUGUUGAAGCAAGACAACAACGAUCAGAGUCACCUUGGAAAGGAGCUGAGAAGGAAAAGGAGCACAAGGGCAUCGUUACACAUGAUAGAAAGAGCCGGUUAAGAUCAAGGUCUCCUGUGUCAAAAAGUCGGUUGAGAUCAAGGUCUCCUGUGUUCAGAGAAAGUUUGCAUUCAGCAACCCACAGGAAAAGGGAUUAUUAUGAUAUCAAAGAUUCUGAGCAUAACUUGGAGAGGCUUGAAUCAAGGCAGCAUAUGUAUCCAGGGGAUGCCGACAGUAAAGUAUCUGAAAAGAAGGAUAGAUCCAUAUCACCCAAGAAUUUGCAUGAGAGAUACAAAGACACCAGAGUAUCUCCAUCUUACAGCAGGCGCAUUGCUGAAGUGGAUCAUAGGGGUCGGUCAAGGUCACGUGACCAUAAGAGGGAGAGAUCUUAUGAAAGGGGUUUAGAUUAUUAUGCAGAUGGUGGUGCUCAAUCUGGCCAGUUCGAGUUGCAAGGUGAUGUCAGGAAUGAGUUGGACAAAUAUGCAGCUGGAACUAGAAUGAGUGAAAGAGGGGUACACAAGGAAAGAGAGAGUGGUAAUAGUUAUUGCAGAUACGAUGAACGAGGGGACAGGCAUGGCACUCGGGAAAGAGAAAGGGAUAAAGAAAGGUACAGUAACAGUCUUAGAGACAGAGAUAGUAAGGAGAUGGAUAAGGGUUCUCGUAGAGAAAGAGAGAGGAGCAGUAGCUAUAGCAGACAUGACAGGCGGGAGGACAGGCAUCGAAGUAGGGACAAAGAGAGGGAAAUAAGCAGAUACGGUAGUGGUAAAGAAAGAGAUAGGGAUAACCUGCGGGAUAUGAGUUGGGAGAGGCAUAGAGAGAGGGAAAGGGUAAGGGAUAUUGACAGUGAGCACAAAAGGGACAGAGAUGGCAAAGAUAGGAAUAGGAAUCAGGUUAGAGAUAGGGACAUACAUGUGCAUACAGAAAGAGAAAAUGGACUGAUGGAAAGGGAUAAAGUUGCUAGUCAGGACAGGCAUAGGUAUUCUAGGCAUUCAAAAUAUGAUCAAGUGGAACAUUGCAAGGAGAAGACAAGAUGUAAGGACUCCGCCAAGGAAAGUAGUUAUAAUAGACGCAAUCCUGAAGAAGAAAAUGUGGAAUCUAUCAGGGAGGAAGAUGAAGAAGACUAUAAAGAGAGAGUCGAACAACAGCUUGCAAAACAGGAUGAGGAAGAUGUUAACAAAAUCAAGGAGGAAAGCAGAAAAAGGAGACAAGCUAUCCUGGAAAAAUACAAGCAGCAGCAACUGCAGCAACAUAUGGAAUCCUCAUCUAAUGAUAACGGGAAAGAGGAAAAGGCAUCUACAGAUGAGGAUAAGCUGCAGGAGGUCAAGCGUACUAAAGCUGAUAAACAAGCCCUGAAUGAAGAGAUUGAGAAUAGGCAUGAUACUUUGGAUACGUAUGUUGCUGAUCCAUCAUUUGUUGUGGGCAAGUCACCUGUGCAAAAUGGCCAAUCAGUUGAUGAGAAAACAACUGGUGCUAGGGGGCUUGGGGAGGGUACUCCCAAGAGUGAGAGAUCAACUGACAUGUUUUGUGAUGACAUCUUUGGAGAAUCACCUGCUGGAGUUCGCAAAUUGGGCAAAGGAAAUGGCCUUCAAAUUGAUAGAAGUGGUCUUCAUGACAACUGGGAUGAUGCAGAGGGAUACUAUAGUUACAGGUUUGGCGAAGUGCUUGAUGGUCGUUACGAAAUUAUUGCAGCUCAUGGAAAAGGUGUUUUCUCAACUGUUGUUCGCGCGAAGGAUCUUAAAGCUGGGAAAGGUGAUCCUGAAGAAGUAGCCAUAAAAAUCAUACGCAACAAUGAUACCAUGUACAAGGCAGGUCAAGGGGAAUUGGUCAUACUGAAGAAAUUGGCAGGCGCAGAUCCUGAGGACAAACGCCACUGCAUUAGGUUUCUUUCAAGUUUCAAGUAUCGGAAUCAUCUUUGUUUAGUUUUUGAAUCUCUUCAUAUGAAUCUACGUGAGGUUCUGAAGAAAUUUGGUCGUAAUAUUGGGCUUAAGCUGACUGCUGUGAGGGCAUAUGCUAAGCAGCUUUUCAUUGCGCUGAAGCAUCUCAAAAACUGUGGCGUUCUGCACUGUGAUAUAAAGCCAGAUAACAUGCUGGUAAAUGAGGCUAAAAAUGUGCUAAAGCUCUGUGAUUUUGGCAAUGCUAUGUUUGCUGGUAAGAAUGAAAUAACACCAUACCUGGUCAGCCGCUUCUACCGUGCCCCAGAAAUAAUCCUUGGAUUGCCAUAUGAUCAUCCGAUAGAUAUCUGGUCGGUUGGUUGCUGUUUAUAUGAACUUUCUACAGGGAAAGUCCUUUUUCCUGGUCCAUCAAACAAUGACAUGCUUCGACUCCACAUGGAGUUAAAGGGUUCUUUCCCAAAGAAGAUGCUCCGAAAGGGUGCCUUUGUUGAUCAGCAUUUUGAUCAGGAUUUGAGUUUUCAUGCUACGGAGGAGGAUCCAGUUACAAAGAAGACUGUUAAGAGACUGCUUUUCAAUAUUAAGCCAAAGGACAUUGGUGCCCUCGUAUCAAGCUCUCCUGGGGAGGAUCCCAAAAUGUUAUUGAAUUUUAAAGAUCUUCUAGAAAGAAUAUUUGUAUUGGAUCCAGAAAAGAGGUUGACAGUAUCUCAAGCAUUGAGUCAUCCAUUUAUCACGGGCAAGUGAACUAAGAUGCUGAUUUUUCUGACUGCAGACAUGCUGUUGAGCAUGCCCCUUGUGAUCUAACUUUUUAUUUAGUCAUCUAAUUUUUCGGCAUUUAUCUGUCUUUUCCCUGCUGCAUGGGAGCUCUAAGUUUGGAGCGCGUGGAUCAGCGUGGAAGAGAUGCUGGUUGAAAAAAAAAGACCUUCCUGCAUGGCAGUUCUUAUCAGUGGGAUGUGUUCUGUUUCUUGGUUUCUGCCAGGCUAUGAGGCUAGCAGCAAUGUUUAAUAUGCUAAAAGGCAACCAAAAGAAGGCCUUUGCAUAGGAGACUGCUGGAUGCAGGGCUGGUGCUGUGAAAAUUUUUCAUGAAAUAAAAUUUGUUCACAUCUUGACUUGCUUGAGAAGUUGGAAACCUAUACUGAUGCAAACUGAUUGGUGCUAGCGAUCAAUAUUGGUAAUGUUUUUGGAGCACAGGACAUGUUUGUCCAGAUGUAUGGAAUGAGAGCAUCUGAUGUCUUGGUGCUUAUAAUGUCUCAUAUAGCACAAGUCCAAUUUGUACUGAUUGCUUCUGUUACAAGAGUCGGUCUUUGUGACCAACUUGAGGGACAUUUGCAGUAUCAUCCACGUUUAGCAUUUGUUAGCUGUCCAACAUGCGAGUUUUGUAAGAAAAAGACAAAAAUCACAAGAAAAGCAUGUAGCCUUAGCCAAUAUAACAAGUCUAGUCAUGGUUACUGCAGGCUACGUGGUGGCAGACUUGAUCAUGUCAUGAAUACUCUAAUCCUCAAGUCUAUGGGAAACAGCAUUGUCACUUGAAAUCAGUUCCAUCUCAAUAAUAUGUUUAGCUAUGUCCUCUUCCCAAUCAUAUAGCACUUAAAUCCAAUUCUCCAUUUCUAAUUCUUGUAUAGUUUGUGGACUGAUAAAAAUGGCAUCUUAAUAAUAAUUUCACCCUAGUAGCUAUUAGCGCAAGGCGGUGGACAUCAGCUGCAAGAUCAACAAGCUACAUUCUGUUCUCUGCAUGCAUGCAUCUAGGUGAAUCAUCUGAUACAAGUGUAAAUGUGUUGCACAUAAUGUGAUUUGAUGCUUUGAGGUAAUCUUUCAUCUUUAAAUUUCUUACAGUGGCUCUAGCAUGAGUAUAACACUUUAUUUACUUCUUGUGUUGCGGGUUUAGUGAUUGUUUCUUGUAAAUUUUGACUUUUCUCAAACUACAUGACUUAAUGUUCCUGAGCUUAAAUGAAAACUGUUGUCUGCUUCUCACUUAAAUGAUGAGUCUCUGUACACUAGAAACAAAACAUGAUAUCGAACAGCUUUUUAGUUUAUUUCUUUUGUAUAUAAUGAAGAUAUUGUCCAUAAUACUGCUAACGCACAGGUUAGGACCUUAUAUGACAUAGAUGAUCUUUAGCACUCGUUGUACAUUCUGGUGUUUGCUUUGGGGAAUGGAAUUUUUGUGCUACAAAGUACAUGACUGUAAAUGGAUAUGGCCUUCAUACAGACAAUAGGUUAUGGACUCCAUGAAGCAGUGGUGCACAUGGAAUAAUGUGGAUCAUACCAAUAAUGACCAUAAAGCUUUGUUAUUUUGUUGUUUCUUGAGAUAUCAUCAUGAUUCAGCAUAUGAAAAUCAAAUCCCUACGUUUAGAGGUGAAACAUCAUGAUUUUUUCAAAUAAUAAGCUUCUUUCCAUCAAUUGGGCUCAGUCUCGUGGAAUAGUUUCAUUAAGGCACUCAGUAUUUUUGGGGCAUUUCUUAAACUUUGUAUGAGUAGCUAAUGACCGUAAUUAGCAACUUUUGUAUUAUAGUUGAUGAUGUAGGUGGCAAAGUUGAAGAAAAAUGCCCUUAAUUAACUAACAGCUGUGCUCUUUGUUAUGUUUCUUAUUGUACUGAUCUGGUGAACUUUGUGGAGUUUUUGUUCACGACAUUUGCAACCUAAUGUAGAGGAAUAAUUAUGUGUCCAAUCUUCAGUAGUUGAUGUUUAUUUUUGGAUCUGCUGAGGUCAUGAUUGGAAUUCCCUUGUUUUCCAAAUGUCUUUGAUUUUAAACAUCUAUUAUCUCUCUUUAAAUUCUGCUUGAUGUGGUUAUUGUAUGCUUUAAUACCUUUAGGGCAAAAUAGUACUUUGGAUUUAGUCAAAGGGCACACAGGUUGAGAUAUCUGACAGGUCUGAAUGGUAAAAUUUCUUUUAGGGUUAUGCAGAAACGAAGUGUACUUGUGUUGUCAUCCUCCAUGAAAGCAUGCAUUUGGUCAUACAUGAACAAACAAAAAUCCUCUAGAGCGUGCUUGUUCUGGCUUGAGCACCAGGACACAGGUUCAAUUUAUUGGGCAAUUCAAGCUGUAAUUUUACCUGUUUUCUUGUAAUUUUGUUCUUUCCAGAAUGUUAGGUUGGUUUCCUCGUGUUCUGCAGGACAAGAAUGUUCUUUUUCUUUGGGCUUUAGUAACGUGACGUUUAUAUGCCUUCUUUUAUGGAUUCCAGGGAAUGUAAGUGCAGUCUCACCUCGGCUUUACGCAGUGGAUAUGAAAAAAUAAGUCUUGUAUUUCUUUGGCUA